rnacentral:rRNA from 1 species
UACGUAGGGCGCAAGCGUUGUCCGGAAUUAUUGGGCGUAAAGAGCUCGUAGGUGGCUUGUCACGUCGGGUGUGAAAGCUUGGGGCUUAACUCCAGGUCUGCAUUCGAUACGGGCUGGCUAGAGGUAGGUAGGGGAGAACGGAAUUCCUGGUGUAGCGGUGAAAUGCGCAGAUAUCAGGAGGAACACCGGUGGCGAAGGCGUCU